rnacentral:rRNA from 1 species
UACAGAGGUCUCAAGCGUUGUUCGGAAUUACUGGGCGUAAAGGGUGCGCAGGCCGCGCGGGCAGUCAAAUGUGUAAUCCAGGGGCUCAACCCCUGAACUGCGCUUGAUACUUCCGCGCUCGAGCUUUGGAGAGGAGUCUGGAAUUCUCGGUGUAGCAGUGAAAUGCGUGGAUAUCGAGAAGAACACUUAGGGCGUAGGCAAGACUCUGGACAAAUGCUGACGCUCAUGCACGAAGGCUAGGGUAGCGAAC